rnacentral:sRNA from 1 species
CGGAACUAGACGUGCGUCCAUCGCGAGA